rnacentral:misc_RNA from 1 species
GUAAAAUAUAAAAUUCAAUUAAGUAGAGAACAAGCUUUUGUAAUAAUUUAUGAAUAAAGACAUUGAUCUUUUGCUCAUUUUGAGCACACAUAUAGGAAAAUGAAGAUAAUUGCUCUUUUGCAUUAUUCACACGUGAAAAGAAACCCAGGAAUCCAUACCCCAUGCGAUUCCUGUGAAUUAAGUACUGUGAUGAAUAAAAGGAUACAUAUAUCAGGAAGCGAUCUCACUGACAAUUAAUGCCGUUAAGCUUUCUUUCCAGGACCUCUGAGCAAAUCUGGCCCAUCAUGUGGUAGAAAGACAGGAGAUCAGAUAACUGCUCUAUCGACAUUUUUCCCAUCACAUUUUUUGCUUGCCUUUCACUUUCCUCAUUCAACUGCAAUCUCUCAAUGUAGGAUCCACCAUUCCUUACUGUUGCUCCUAUCUGCUCUAGCCUAUUCUUUUGUUGGAAACUCAAAGCUGUGUUGCACUGUAGAAAUUCUGCUUCAGCUUUCAGCUCUGAUUCUUUUGAUGGGUGCAGCUCUUGGCCAGUAGUAAACAUAUUUCUUGCAAUUGAGAAGCUCCAAAGUAUAACUUUUCUUUUAUUCUUCAUUUCUUGAUUUAGCUUCAUAGGCUUUGGCACUGAUGUUGUGAUAUUAAGCUUCUUCUUAUAGGCAAUUACAGCCUUCACAAAUUCCUGAUAAGCCUUUGGGCAUCCUGGAUAAUCAAAUUGAUUGGUAUCAGGCUGCCUCAUUCUCUCCGGAUGGAACUGAAGUCCCAUUAUAAACUUACCCUCUUCAGGAUUAUAGGCAUCUGGAUCAUAAAACCCUUCAAUCAAUCCGUCAGGUGCAUAAGCCAUUGGCACAAAUCUUUGGGCCAACCUCUUAACGCCUUGGUGGUGGUAACUAUUAACAGAAAUUUCCAUUUUACCCUCUUCCAGAGAAUCCUUGAACCAAUGGUGCAGAGGGCUGCUCUCAACUACCUUAAUCACGUGUCUAUGCCCAUCAUAAUUAUCAUAAUCAAUGUGCUUCACUCUCUGGGACUCCACGAACUUGUUUGAUAUCUCCUUUUCUAUAUCUAGAUAAAGGGUACCUCCGCAGGCAACAUUUAGAACCUGUGAACCCCGGCAAAUUCCCAAGUAAGGUAUGUUCCUUUCCAGACAAAGUUUAGCAAGCCUUAAUUCGAUUGAAUCUUUCUCUUUGUCAAUAGCUGUAUCGCUUGCGUGCAGCCUCCUGAUUUCUUCCAACUCUUCUGGUGAAAGAUUAGUUGUUUCAGCUUCAUAGAGAGAUGGAUCAAUAUCUUCUCCUUCACAAAGAAGAACACCAUGGAUCGGCUCAAAACUGUCCAGCAACAUAUGCACCCCACUAACACGAGGCACAAUAACUGGUACGGCACCGUAGCCUACUAUAAGAUCAAGAUGAUAUUCACCCACAAAAUCUACGAACUUGUUCUUGCGAACGCUGCGUCUAGAGACGAUGAGGACACGAGGGAGGAUCACAGAGAGAUCAGAAGCCAUGAAAGUAAAGAAAGCAAAGUGUGGAACUGUGUGUAAGAUUAUUAGUUCUGAACUAAAGUUGGAUCCAAUCUUAACAAAUUGGUUUUCAUUAAGCUUUGUUAGCUAUUUAUACGCUACAAAUGGAGGAAGAUAAGGUGUCUAAUUGUUUAUGCUCUAGAAAGAGGGAGUGCGU